UACGGAGGAUUCAAGCGUUAUCCGGAUUUAUUGGGUUUAAAGGGUGCGUAGGCUGUUCGGUAAGUUAGAGGUGAAAUCCCGUGGCUCAACCACGGAACUGCCUCUGAUACUGCCGGGCUAGAGAAUAGUUGCUGUGGGCGGAAUGUGAGGUGUAGCGGUGAAAUGCUUAGAGAUCACACAGAACACCGAUUGCGAAGGCAGCUCACAAAGCUAUAUCUGACGCUGAGGCACGAAAGCGUGGGGGGCAAACAGG
rnacentral:rRNA from 1 species